UACGAAGGGGGCUAGCGUUGCUCGGAAUCACUGGGCGUAAGGGGUGCGUAGGCGGGUCUUUAAGUCAGGGGUGAAAUCCUGGAGCUCAACUCCAGAACUGCCUUUGAUACUGAAGAUCUUGAGUUCGGGAGAGGUGAGUGGAACUGCGAGUGUAGAGGUGAAAUUCGUAGAUAUUCGCAAGAACACCAGUGGCGAAGGCGGCUCACUGGCUCACUACCGACGCUGAGGCGCGAAAGCGUGGGGAGCAAACAGG
rnacentral:rRNA from 1 species